GGUUUUCCCAUAGAUCUGCUGGGAAAGAAGGAUAGAGCGGACGUACGGUUGUUGCUCCAUAGCGGGCCCUGCCUUCCGGCGGCGCCGAGAUCUGGCCUCCGGCGAACUCGGCCUCGAUCGUGGCUCCAAUCCCCAGCGACAUUAAUCGUGCUCGGUUGAGAGAGCACGCCUGCCCGCGCGCGAGCCCGGUGCUACCACCGCAAUGUGUCCAUCCACGAGCCAGGAAGAAGAACAAACAGGGGAACUGACAUAUCAGGCCAAUUCGGCACCAAUGGAGACGGUGCAGAAAAAGGAGGCUAUGGGAACCACUUGUCCUGAGGAUAACGGUAAAGAUAAAGAUGGAUCAACCACGGAUGAAAAAUACGAUCCACAGGGACCUCCUUCACCUCCAAGCGAUCUCAAAUCACUCAAGGAGGUGCAUGGCUGAACAAAACAAGUGCCGUACCUGCUAAUUCCAGUGCAACAUCCACAACCGUCCCGGACCGUACUCCUCAGUGGGUACCUGAUGUCUUCUUCGAUAUAUUACCCCACUUGCGGCCAAUCCUGAAAAAGGAUAGUGUCAGGUCUUUCCUUCGCUUCUUAAAUCAGAAUGGAAGGGACAUGACACUGGGUUACAUCAUCAAACCAGAAGCUUUAAACGAGCUAGUCAUCACUAAUGCACUGCGAUGUGCCAAACUUGUCUUGGUGGGCAAGAAUCCUGAGCUGCAUGGGUUCGGGGCCGAUCCCAACUGCAUGACUCAAUUUGGGUUCUUCCCUCUGCACCGAGCUGCUGAAAUGUUCUCUGUUGAUAUGAUUGAGUUGCUCUUGCACCAUGGCGCGUCGGCCAAUUUGCGCACAUCCGGUGCUUUAGUCAUUGACAACCUACUCCCGGUCCAUGUUGCGGUUGAGAACACUUGCCUGCACACCUGCACAAGUACCUGGAGAACGGUCUACAUCCUAAUCAAGAAAAUAUGGAUUACAGUCAUGCAGAUAUCAACUAUAUCCUGAAGCUCAUCCAUAUCCUCUGCCUACCGGAAAUGGUUUGUUUCACAUCCUUCCUUGCACAAAUUACUUGUGUUGCAGCAUAACUAAAAAAGUUUCAUCUAUCUCAAACCACUGAUAUAGCAAUACCUGAGGGUAUUACAUUCUUACAUCUGCACUUUUCAAAGACUACAGUUCACUGUGUUGCUUUGUGUAUGACAUUAUUUGGUUACUGAUAAGCAACUUAUGUUGCCAUUAACUUUUCAA